AUUGAACGCUGGCGGCAGGCCUAACACAUGCAAGUCGAGCGGAUGAGUGGAGCUUGCUCCAUGAUUCAGCGGCGGACGGGUGAGUAAUGCCUAGGAAUCUGCCUGGUAGUGGGGGGCAACGUUUCGAAAGGAACGCUAAUACCGCAUACGUCCUACGGGAGAAAGCAGGGGGACCUUCGGGCCUUGCGCUAUCAGAUGAGCCUAGGUCGGAUUAGCUAGUAGGUGAGGUAAUGGCUCACCUAGGCGACGAUCCGUAACUGGUCUGAGAGGAUGAUCAGUCACACUGGAACUGAGACACGGUCCAGACUCCUACGGGAGGCAGCAGUGGGGAAUAUUGGACAAUGGGCGAAAGCCUGAUCCAGCCAUGCCGCGUGUGUGAAGAAGGUCUUCGGAUUGUAAAGCACUUUAAGUUGGGAGGAAAGUCGUCGGUGACAUCCGGCGAUGCUGACGGUACCGCAAGAAUAAGCACCGGCUAAC
rnacentral:rRNA from 1 species